AGGUUCUGCCAUGAAAGCUGCGGCAAUUACUACAGCUGAAAGUUGGUGCAAAGACUUAAGAUGACACCCUCUAGCAUGGAGCUUUAUAAAGAUGAAUUUUGAAGCCAAUCUGCAAUCCAAACCUAUUCCUGAACGCUUCAGAUGAAAUUUGUUUUGGCCUUGCUGGCGGAAAAAGGUGAAAGUGGAAGUCUUGUAUUGAGACUCUCAGAAGGCUCCCAGAUAUCCUAUAGAACUUCUGUAGACAAAUACUGGGAGCUGGCCUCUAGACCAGAGCCACCAUCCUCCACAGAAGUCAGCCACGUGAAGACCAUUUUAUCGGUAGUCUCGACCUGCAGCAGAGCCACUUAGCUGCUAAGUGCCACGGGCGAAACUCUCACGCUGGCAGGUCAGGUGUGCCCCUAAGGGAAGGUAACGAAGGUGAAGAGCUCAGCCCUUUUGGGGAUGCUGCCCCAAUGUUAGUUCAUCCUGCUGCUGUAUGCAGCCAUGCCAGGGCACAUGUGUAUACGUCUGCCUAAGGGGUAUCCAGGAAAUAAGUAUAUGUUCUGGUUCUGAAAAACACCAACAUAAAGCUGAAGCUCCAAGACAGUAGAGCUAUAUACCAUGUUUUAUAUCUGCUCUUUGAGAACCACUGCUGAUUUAUCUUUUGAAUUUACAUCUUUUGGGGUUGUACCUUUUGUUAUAACUUUGAGUUAUGAGCAUGAUUCAGUUCCCAGACAGCACUUGAUUGAGGAGUGCUGUUAAGACCAGACUACAGCUGCAUCGAGGGGAAUAAUGUGACUGGCUAGAUUAUGUGUCAGAUUUCCCCUUAGGUUUCCUGUUUACUGAAGUAGUCUUGGCCCUUGAUAAGUAAAAUUGUUUUCCAUUUGAAUAUCAGUCCAGUAUUAGCUCUCAGGAUGGGAUUCACCCAGCAUCAAUUCUGUCUUUCUAAAAGCACACUCCACUGUUGCUGUCUGGCUGCUGAGGGCAUGCUAAAACUGAAGUCAAAAAUACACAGAAUGGUUGGUCUCAGGAUGGAUCCACCUCUUUUCAUUGACUACAGAUGGGAUUUGCCUAGUUUAUAUUGCAUGUCAGGCUUUCACACUCCUAAAAUUAGGUGAGGUGAAUCUCAUUUUCAGCAAUUACAAGAGCUUUAGCUUUAUGUUUUGAAUUCUGAGGUGAUGAGCUCUAUGAAAAACACCUCAUCAACAAAAUCUGGGGUCCUGUGUCAGUUCAGCAUCAUCUGUGGGAAUCAACAGGAGUCAGACUCAAGCACUUGGCUUCUUCCGAGAAUCCUGCUCUAUACAGAGACAGUGCCUAGCAUCUUUUGUCUUUACUCCAUCUUUUAAUCCAAGUCUUUUCUGGGCAAUCUUCUUGCUAUAACUAUUUCAACAAAUGGCAAGCACAGUAAGGGUAAUAACAGUAGAAUUUUCAGAAAGUUAGUAAAAAUCUUCACCAAAAUACCUUGUGAAGACACAGCAGAAUAGACCAAAGCUCUUAUUCAGCUCUCCACAUACAAACAAAAAAUCCCCCCCCCCCCCCC